AGCGAACGCUGGCGGCAGGCUUAACACAUGCCAGUCGAGCGGGCACCUUUCGGGGUGUCAGCGGCGGACGGGUGAGUAACGCGUGGGAACGUGCCCUCUGGUUCGGAAUAACUCAGGGAAACUUGAGCUAAUACCGGAUACGCCCUUUUGGGGAAAGGCUUGCUGCCGGAGGAUCGGCCCGCGUCUGAUUAGCUAGUUGGUGAGGUAACGGCUCACCAAGGCGACGAUCAGUAGCUGGUCUGAGAGGAUGAUCAGCCACACUGGGAAUGAGACACGGCCCAGACUCCUACGGGAGGCAGCAGUGGGGAAUAUUGGACAAUGGGCGCAAGCCUGAUCCAGCCAUGCCGCGUGAGUGAUGAAGGCCUUAGGGUUGUAAAGCUCUUUUAUCCGGGACGAUAAUGACGGUACCGGAGGAAUAAGCCCCGGCUAACUUCGUG
rnacentral:rRNA from 1 species